GCCUCUGUAGCUCAGUGGUAGAGCGGCUGCCUUGUAAGCAGUAGGUCGUAGGUUCAAAUCCUGCCAGAGGCU
rnacentral:tRNA from 1 species